UACGUAGGGUGCAAGCGUUGUCCGGAAUUAUUGGGCGUAAAGAGCGUGUAGGCGGCCCGAUUAGUCCGCUGUGAAAGUCUAGGGCUCAACCCUGGAAUGCCGGUGGAUACUGUUGGGCUAGAGUCCGGAAGGGGCGAGUGGAAUUCCUGGUGUAGCGGUGAAAUGCGCAGAUAUCAGGAGGGACACCAAUGGCGAAGGCAGCUCGCUGGGACGUGACUGACGCUGAGACGCGAAAGCGUGGGGAGCAAACAGG
rnacentral:rRNA from 1 species